rnacentral:rRNA from 1 species
GACGAACGCUGGCGGCGUGCUUAACACAUGCAAGUCGAACGAAAAUACCAAGCUUGCUUGGUUGAUUAGUGGCGAACGGGUGAGUAACACGUGAGUAACCUGCCCCUUACUUUCCUGGAUAACUGCUCGAAAGGGUAGCUAAUACGGGAUAUUCUGACCAGCCUGCAUGGGUUGGUUUGGAAAGGUUGUUUUUCUGGUAAGGGAUGGGCUCGCGGCCUAUCAGCUUGUUGGUGGGGUGAUGGCCUACCAAGGCUUUGACGGGUAGCCGGCCUGAGAGGGUGGACGGUCACACUGGGACUGAGAUACCGCCCAGACUCCUACGGGAGGCAGCAGUGGGGAAUAUUGCACAAUGGGCGCAAGCCUGAUGCAGCGACGCCGCGUGAGGGAUGAAGGCCUUCGGGUUGUAAACCUCUUUCGUCAGGGAACAAGGCACUGCUUUUUUGGUGGUGUUGAGGGUACCUGGAUAAGAAGCGCCGGCUAACUACGUGC